UACGUAGGAUGCAAGCGUUGUCCGGAAUUAUUGGGCGUAAAGCGCACGUAGGCGGUUUGUUAAGUCGGAUGUGAAAUCCCUCGGCUCAACUGAGGAAGUGCAUCCGAAACUGGCAAGCUUGAGUACGAAAGAGGGUCGCGGAAUUCCCGGUGUAGAGGUGAAAUUCGUAGAUAUCGGGAGGAACACCGGUGGCGAAGGCGGCGACCUGGGUCGAUACUGACGCUGAGGUGCGAAAGCGUGGGGAGCAAACAGG
rnacentral:rRNA from 1 species